GCCUGGGUGGCGGAACGGGUAGACGCAAGGGACUUAAAAUCCCUCGGCUUUCGUAGUCGUGAGAGUUCGAUUCUCUCCCUAGGCACCA
rnacentral:tRNA from 1 species